GACGAACGCUGGCGGCGUGCUUAACACAUGCAAGUCGAACGGAAAGGCCCUGCUUUUGUGGGGUGCUCGAGUGGCGAACGGGUGAGUAACACGUGAGUAACCUGCCCUUGACUUUGGGAUAACUUCAGGAAACUGGGGCUAAUACCGGAUAGGAGCUCCUGCUGCAUGGUGGGGGUUGGAAAGUUUCGGCGGUUGGGGAUGGACGCGCGGCUUAUCAGCUUGUUGGUGGGGUAGUGGCUUACCAAGGCUUUGACGGGUAGCCGGCAUGAGAGGGUGACCGGCCACAUUGGGACUGAGAUACGGACCAGACUCCUACGGGAGGCAGCAGUGGGGAAUAUUGCACAAUGGGCGGAAGCCUGAUGCAGCAACGCCGCGUGCGGGAUGACGGCCUUCGGGUUGUAAACCGCUUUCGCCUGUGACGAAGCGUGAGUGACGGUAAUGGGUAAAGAAGCACCGGCUAACUACGUG
rnacentral:rRNA from 1 species